GGGACCCGCACAAGCGGUGGAUGAUGUGGAUUAAUUCGAUGCAACGCGAAGAACCUUACCUACCCUUGACAUGUCCGGAACUUGCCAGAGAUGGCUUGGUGCCCGAAAGGGAAUCGGAACACAGGUGCUGCAUGGCUGUCGUCAGCUCGUGUCGUGAGAUGUUGGGUUAAGUCCCGCAACGAGCGCAACCCUUAUCAUUAGUUGCUACGCAAGGGCACUCUAAUGAGACUGCCGGUGACAAACCGGAGGAAGGUGGGGAUGACGUCAAGUCCUCAUGGCCCUUAUGGGUAGGGCUUCACACGUCAUACAAUAGUCGGUACAGAGGGUUGCCAAGCCGCGAGGCGGAGCCAAUCCCACAAAGCCGAUCGUAGUCCGGAUUGUUCUCUGCAACUCGAGAGCAUGAAGUCGGAAUCGCUAGUAAUCGCAGGUCAGCAUACUGCGGUGAAUACGUUCCCGGGUCUU
rnacentral:rRNA from 1 species